GAUGAACGCUGGCGGCGUGCCUAAUACAUGCAAGUCGAGCGAACAGACGAGGAGCUUGCUCCUCUCACGUUAGCGGCGGACGGGUGAGUAACACGUGGAUAACCUACCUAUAAGUCUGAGAUAACUUCGGGACUCCGGAGCUAAUACCGGAUAAUAUCUUGAACCGCAGGGUUCGAUAGUGAGAGACGGUUUUGCUGUCUCUUAUCGAGGCAUCCGCGCCGCAUUAGCUAGUUGGUACGGUAACGGCUUACCAAGGCGACGAUGCGUGGCCGACGUGAGAGGGUGGUAGGCCACACUGGAACGGGGACACGGACCAGACGACUACGGGAGGGAGCAGUAGGGAAUCGUCGGCAAUGGGCGAAAGCCUGACGGAGCAACGCCGCGUGAGUGAUGAAGGUCUUCGGAUCGUAAAACUCUGUUAUUAGGGAAGAACAAAUGUGUAAGUAACUAUGCACGUCUUGACGGUACCUAAUCAGAAAGCCACGGCUAACUACGUG
rnacentral:rRNA from 1 species